ACUCCUACGGGAGGCAGCAGUGGGGAAUAUUGCACAAUGGGCGCAAGCCUGAUGCAGCCAUGCCGCGUGUGUGAAGAAGGCCUUCGGGUUGUAAAGCACUUUCAGUCGUGAGGAAGGUAGUGUAGGUUAAUAANUGCAUUUUAAUUGGAUCGUUAGCGACAGAAGAAGCACCGGCUAACUCCGUGCCAGCAGCCGCGGUAAUACGGAGGGUGCGAGCGUUAAUCGGAAUUACUGGGCGUAAAGCGCAUGCAGGUGGUUUGUUAAGUCAGAUGUGAAAGCCCGGGGCUCAACCUCGGAAUUGCAUUUUGAAAACNGGCAAGACUAGAGUACUGUAG
rnacentral:rRNA from 1 species